rnacentral:rRNA from 1 species
GUUCUUUUGUCAAUAUAAAAGAUCUGACCUGCCCUAUGAUUUAUUUAAAUGGCUGCAGUAUUUUGACUGUACAAAGGUAGCAUAAUCAUUUGUCUUUUUAUUGAAGGCUGGUAUGAAUGGUUGGAUGAGAAAUAUUCUUUCUUUUUUUUAUAUAUUAAAGUUGAUUUUUUAGUCAAAAAGCUAAGAUUUUUUUAUAGGACGAGAAGACCCUAUAGAAUUUUAUUUUUGAUAAAUAUGGUUUUUUUGGUUUAUUUAUGUACUAAUAUUUAUGGGGAAAUUUUGUUGGGGUGAUGGAAAAAAUAUUAUAACUUUUUCUUUUUUUUUCAUUUGUUGAUGUUUUUUUGAUCCUUUAUUAUGGAUAACAAGAUUAAAUUACCUUAGGGAUAACAGCGUUAUUUUUUUGGAGAGUUCAUAUCGAUGAAAAAGUUUGCGACCUCGAUGUUGGAUUAAAAUAAGUGACAGGAGUAGAAUAUUGUUUUUCUAGGUCUGUUCGACCUUUAAAUUUUUACA